UCAGGCGCGGGGCGGAUCCCUGAGCGCGCUAGGGGCUGAGUCCCUCGCUUGGCGCCUUCCGCAGUGCCGUGGCGGGUGCCUGAGAACGUGUGCUGGGUGGAGCCUAAGAGGGGGGUCCUCCUCUACGACCGAGGCCAGAGACCACAGCUGAGCUAGAAGGAAGAGCCUCCAGGCCUGUGCUCUUGAUGGAUUUUAAAAUUGAAAACACUUGGGAUGGUUUUCCAGUGAGGCAUGAGCCAGUGUGUAUCAAGCUGAGCCCAGGGGACAAGGGCGUGAAGAUGGAGGUUAGUGCUCCAUUUUUCAAUGAUCCUCCAGCCCCUCUUGGAGAACCAGGAAAGCCUUUCAGUGAACUGUGGAAUUAUGAAGUUGUGGAAGCAUUUUUCUUGAAUGAUACAACUGAGCAGUAUUUAGAAGUUGAACUUUGUCCACAUGGACAACAUUUAGUUCUUUUACUCUCUGGAAGAAGAAAUAUUUGGAAAAAAGAGCUUGAGUUAUCAUUCAAAGUGUUCAGAGGGGAGACAAACUGGGAAGGCAUAGCUCUUCUUCCUUGGAGUUAUUUUCCACCAAAUGUGACAAGAUUCAACUCAUUUGCAAUUCAUGGAUCAAAUGAUAGAAGAAGUUAUGAAGCCCUUUACCCUGUGCCACAGCAUGAACUGCAGCAAGGACAACAGCCUGAUUUGAUAUCCACACACGAAAGAAGAAAAAUGGAUCACUGUUGUCUUGUAUUUGUCAGCUCUCUGUUACUGUGACAAAAUAUAUGAGACAGUCAACUUAGAAGAUGUCCUGUGAAGUCUUUGCUGGCACUCACCGCUCUCCCCAUUCUAACUAUCUGUGCUGCAUGCUGAUAAAUCUAUUAAGGACUUCUGUGAAGGCGUUUUCACACUUUUUCCUGCAUUGCUGUGUUUUCCGUUAGACUACAAACCACUGGAAGUGUGUGGAAAACACAAUUUCAGUGUGUAUGAGAACUCGUCACAAGAUUCUGCAAGACAAAUGAAGCCAGACAGAUCUACUAUUGCACUGGGAGAGGUAUUUCAGUGGAGUGAUGGAAAGUGGACCACACAAGCAGGGAUUGUGGGAAGAUGGAGAAAGGAAGGGUUCAUGGACCCAGGCAGCAGAAGCAUUCACAUUAUCCUCAGCCUUUUGAAAACAACAGCAUUUGAGAUUCUGUUCUCAGGGUGAGUUAUCUACUGUACAGCUCUGUUAGCAUCACAAGGCUAACAGUAUCUCUGUAAAUGUCAAUGAAGAGCUCAACAGACUGUAGGCGCUAAUCACAUACGAACGGGACAAGAGAAAACCAAUUUGCUUUCCCACACUCUGUUGUAAUGCAUUUAGGAAAUGGCCUAGAAAGGAAGGGUUGGAAGAGCAAACUCAGUCUCGUUUGUGGCACAAAAUAAUGAGCAGUGUUGUAUUUGUUACCUCCUUGCUUUUUGGUAAAUGCAGGCUACAUUUUUUUUUAGGUGUUUCCUUAAGCUCCACUUCAAGGUGAAGUUACGAUCAUUUGUUUCAGGUUUUGUACUCCCUUUUGCCCUUCAAUGAAUUGAUAACAAUAUAGUCAGGGCAAUUAACACAAUACCUUUUUUUUUUUUAAAAAAAGAAAGAAUAGAUUUUUGCAUCUUGCCUCACUGACAAGUUUGCAAAUUGCCAAUCUUUGCUCCUUUCUCUCCCUCCCAAUACUUCACGGUGGUAAUUAAGGACUGUAAAUUUCACUUUAUCAUUUGUGUUUGGAAUACUAGCAUAAAUCAUAGUAAUAGCACCGUUUAUUUCAGUAAUGCCAGGUUGCCUGAAAAUCACUUGUAAAUUGGUUCCAUAGAUGCACCCCCAUCAAAUUAAUCAAAAAGCCACCUGCAUAUAUUUCCUGAGCUUAUUUCAAAGACUUAGUAACAGCGCGGGGGAAAGGCCAAUGUUGACCUUUUCAUCUUUAUUUAUUUGUAGAUUCUGAAUAGCUCAUGCGUGUGUUUUCACUUAGGACCUGGGAGCAGCCAACUGCAUGUUCUACAUAGUAGUUAUUUCUUAAAAUACGACUGAGACUUGGGUUUCAAAUAAUAUACUUGUCUGAUGGUCCUACUGUGUUCCACAUACAGUAAGCAUAAAUUUUGACUAAGCAUAACACUAUAUAUAUUUUACAACCGUGGCAAGCAAUAAUUUUAUGUUCUCAGUUGUUUUUUUCAGUUGAGUAUAGUAGAUUUCAAUGUUGUGAGUCAGGCUGUACUGACAUUUUCCUCUUAUAUCCAGUAAUGUGAUUUUGUUCUUAAUAUUUACAGUUUCUAUGUAUUUGUGUGUGUGCACAUGUGUGCCAUGGUGGGUGUAUGAAAGGCAGAGGACAACUCUCCGUCCAUAGUGUGAUUAAUGGGGAUCACACUCAGGAUUGGUGGCAGGCAGCUUGCUUACUGCGCCAUCUUGCUGCUCUGAGAUAAGUGGUGUUGCUGUGAUGAUGAUAUAGUUUCUUCUUUUGCACUUUCCUAUGCUUCCUGGAACAAUAAUGAAGAAAGUUCCAAUUCCAGCUGAUGAGAGGCUGGCCCAGGACCAUCUUUACAUAAGAGCUUAAGCCAAUUUGAGUAUGUUGAACUCCUUUUGAAAUUUCCUGACAAAAUAUACCUAUAUGUAGCUUACCUCUAAUUAACCUUUGAAAAUAUUCGAUUUAAAAAACAAAGUAAAAUAUAAUAGGAUAAAACAAAAAGCAACCCAUCGAAGUUGAACAAGCAAAACCAACAAAAGGAAAAGAACCGAAGAGAAGGUAUUAUAAACAGAGAUCCACUCAUUCAUAUGUUCAGGAGUCCCAUAAAAAAAAAAAAACCCACUAAACCGAAAGCUAUAAUACACAUGCAGAGGACCUGGCACAGAUCCAUACAGGGCGAGGCUCUGUGCUUGCUGUGUUAGUCUCUGUGAGUUCAUAUGAGCCUUGCUUGGUUCAUAGAGGGCCUUGUUCUCCUGGUGUCCUCUAUACAUGCUGGCUCUUACAUUCUUUCUACAUUAUCUUCCAAAGGUUCCCUGAACUCUGAGGAGAGGGAUUUGAUAGAGACAAGCCAUUUAGAAUUGUGAGUUCCAAGGUCUCUCUCUGCAUAAUACUUUUUUUGUGUGUCUCCUUGUUUGUCUCCCUCUGCUACAGGAGGAAGCUUUCUCUGAUAAUAGCUGAAUGAGGCACUGAUCUAUGAAUAUGGCAGAAUAUCAUUAGGAAUCAUUUAUUGUUACCUUUUUUUAGACCCACAGUAUUUGUUUUUACUCUAAGUCUUUGGUUUCUCUGGUCUCUGGCUCUUGGUUACCCUAGCAGUAUUGGGAAUGGGUUCCAUCUAGUGGAGUAGGACUUAAGUCAAAUCAGACAUUGGUUGGUUACUCCCAGAAGCUUUGUGCCACAGUUACCUUAGUAUAUUUUGCAGACAGGACACCAUUGUAGAUGAAAGGUUUUGUGGUUGUGUUAGAAUUCACAUUUCUCUUUCGGUAGCUUUCAGAGUACCUUCAUGUCCCCAAAACACCAGAAUAUUAGAAGAUAGGGGUAUAGUUUCUAUGUAGGCAUCAACUUUCUCUAUGUUCAAUGGGUUGUGUGGGUGUUGUCCUCAGCAGUGGACCCUUGCUGUCCAUUUGCAGAGAGCAACUUAUCUUGGCAACUACCUAGGCUGUUUGGCGAUUUCCAUGGGACCCUUUUGGCCAACAAUACGAUUGGAUGUAACCCAGUCCUGGUAUUAGAAGCUUUGUUUGGUGACAAGAGGUGGCCAGACCUGUUCCUGUUCCCCCUUGCUACAAGUUCACCCAUAAAGCUAUUGUAUUUCCCUAUCACAAGGAAACCGUGUGUCCUCCUUAGAUCUACUGUCUUUCUCAAUCUCCUCUCAGAGAUCUGAAUUUUCAAUGUAGAUGUCUUUCAUCUCCUUAGGUGUAUUCCAAGAUAUUUUGUCUUUUAUGAUAUUGUAAAUUGGAGUGUGCCCAUGUCUCUUUCUCAGGGUGUCUAUUAUUGGUAGGGUGUUUUUGCUUGGUAUAUAAAAAGGCUACUGAUUUUUAAAAGUUGAUUUUUAAUCCUGUCACUUGGCUGAAAUUGUGGGUUGCUUCUAGUUUUCUGGUGGGACUUUUAGGGUCUCUUAUGUAUAACUAUAACAUCCUCAAAUAGUAAUAAUUUGACUUCUUUUCCAAUUUCUCUCCCAUUAAAUUUCUUCUUUUACCUUCUUACUCUGGCUGGUGUUUCCAAUACAAUAUUGAAAAGGAAUGGCAAUGGUGGACAGCUCUUUGGUUAUUUUUCAUAUUUUAAUGGGAUUGCUUUAGGUUUUUCUCUAUUUAGGAUAAUGUUGGCUGUGGGUUUGUCUUAUGUAGCCUUUAUUAUGGUGAGAUAUGUUCCCUCCAGUACUACUCUCUUUAGGACUUUUAUCUUGAAAUCAUGUUGGAUUUUGUCAAAAUUUCUUUUGCAUCUAUUGAGAUGAUUAUUUGAUUUUUGUCUUUAAGUUUAUAUGAUUUAUUAUACUAAUGUAUAUAUCCUGUAUUUCCAGGAUGAAGCCAAUUUGAUUAUGGUGGAUGAUUUUCUUGAUAUAUUCUUGUAUUCAGCUUGCUAGUAUUUUAUUGGAGAUCUUUGCAUUUAUGUUUAUCAGGAAUAUCAAUUUGUAGUUUAUUUUUGUUGUUUUGUAUUUACCUGGUUUGGUGUUAAGAGUACUGGCUCCAUAGAACAAGCUUAGGCCAUGGAAAAUUAUCUUUUUCCUUCAACUAUGGCAGAUAAUUUUUCUGGGUACAGUAAUCUAGAUUGGGAGUCAUGUUCUUUUAGAGUUUCCAUUGAGAAAUCAGGUAUUAUUCUGAUGGCUUUUCCUUUAUAUGUGUUUGUUCUCUUGUAGCUUUCAAUAUUUUUAUUUGUUCUUCAUAUUUAGUGUUUUGAUUAUGAAAAACCCACAUAGGAUGUUUGUCUUUUGGUCUUGUUUAGUUGGGGUUUUAUGUGCUUCUUGUAUCUGUAUGGCUAUGUCCUUCCCUAGUUUAGGGAAGUUUUCUUCUAUGAUUUUGCUAAAGAUUUGGUCUAUGCCAUUGAUCUUAGAUUCUUUUACAUCUUUUAUGCCCAUAAUUCAAACAUUUGGUCUUUUGGUGAUGUUCUACAUUCCCUGUAUGUUCCUUUCCUGUGCUUUAAGCUUUUUCUUUUCCUUUUUUUUUGUUUUGUCCAGAUUCUCUUCUUUAUGUUUGAAUUCUGAUAUUCUAUCUUCUGCUUGUCUCAUUCCACUAUAAGACUUGUAAUUCCACUUGUAAUUCCUCUUUGUUUUCUACUUGGGCUGUUGGGUUUGUCAAUUCCAUCUUUAUUUCAGAUUGAGUACUCUCUAACAUUCCAAUCUCUUUUCAAUUCAGUUUUCACAUCCUGAAUUAUUUUCAUUAUUUUGUAUACUUGUAUUUUCUUGAAUAUCACUCAAGUGCUUAUUUUUAUUUUCUUGGUGUUCAAUAAAUGUUUAUUUAUGUCUUCUUUAAAUUCCUUAAGGAUAAAACUUAUGAUUAUUUUUUAAAUUCUGUUUCCUAGGAUUUUAGCGAGUACUUCUAUAGGACUAGUUGUUUUGAUGAGUGACAUGCUGUUUUGACCAUUCGUGUUUCUUUUAUUUUUGCAAUUUAACCUGGGCAUGUGAACUCCUUUCUUUGGUUGUAUCUGAUGUGAUAAUCUGGCCUUACUUAGAAUGGCCAGUGCAGGAGAUGCAUAACCUCAGCAAGGUCAGGUAAAACUUGUGCGUGGGCUGUUUAAUUGGACCAAGGAAAGAUGACUCUGAAACCAUAUGUCCUUAGCUAGUGCAGGAAAGGAAUGUUUGCAGAUGAAGAGGGUUCGUGGUCACAGGUCUUACCCUAUGCACAUGUGUUUGAAGGUGGCAGCAGGUGGGGGAAAGAGCAGGGACAGAGAACUGACUUCCCCAGGAUGUGUGGCUCACGCACUAAGAGGACUCACAGGUUGUGGGUCUAGAAUUAGGCUGGUACUCUUGUGGAGAGAAAGAUCUGGAAAGCAAUGGAUUAAAAUGGAGACGGUGAAGUAGAGGACUUGAAGAAUGACAGGUUUUAAUUAAUUCUUACAAGUGUGAAUGAAACUAGUAUUAAAAAACAUCUGAAAAAAUUCUCAGACAGUAAAUAUAUAUUGAUUUGUAUUUAGGUACAUAUUUAUAUAUUACAUUUAUAUUUAAAUAUUAAGCAUUUGUAAACAUUUAAAUCAAAGCAUGUUUUCAUUGUAUUAUAGUAAUCAAUUUUACUGUGGUAAUAUAGGAGAAAAAAAAUUAAAUUUAUUUUAGCCACGAGAAUAUUUUUCAGUGUUUUUAGUCCAUAAGACUUCAAAACAUUUAAUGUAUUUCUUAACUAUAGAUUAACGCUUAUUUUUGCAAUUAGAACUGGAAGUUGAAAGGCAGCACAUUUCAUUUAUCAAUAAGCCUGCGAUUGACUGAUAACUAAGUUCUCAGAAAUGCUGGAAUAAAUGAUCUUCCUUUCUACUCCUCUCACCUCUGCUCUCCUCUAAAAUAAAUCAUUUCCAAGCUGUCAACAAGGAUGAGAAAUUUCUAGCUAAAGACCUUUCUUCUCCUCCUCUAAGGCCUUGAAAAAGGGGGCUUAGAGUGAAAAGUGUCAUAACUACAAUAGUAAGUGCAUUCUAGCAAGAAUAAAUAAAAUGGCAAAGCCUGACAGUGAAGAAUACGGAGAGGAAUUCAAGUGACUAAACCUCAAAUAAAGGAUUAUCCUUGUUUGUGAGAAAUCUAUUCCAGGAAGAAACCGGUGCAGCAGUCUCUGCAUACAGAAGCAGCUGUGCGGACUUGGGUCUUCAGGGAAACUGCUGCUGGGAAUCAGAGUCCUACAGGGCAGGAGUCGCCAACAACAAGCCAAUAACAGGCACCUACCUUGGCCUCUUGCUGUAACAGUUAUUGGGCACUGAAUACCCCACUUAGAGAGCAGCUGUCCUAAAUCAGUGGCACUCGUCCUGUCAUUAACAGAAAUUUGGUACUAUAUUUUUAUGGCUCUAUUAACUUUUAUAAUUUGAAUUUCUACUUGGUGAAAGGUGGAAAUAAAGAAAACUGCGGACCAUGAAUAUUGUGAAGUGGUGCUAAUUACAUAAAAAUACCAUGGCCAGUGGUGGAAGUAACAGCGAUAAAGUGAAAUUUAACAGCCGUGUCCACUCUAGAGUCAGAACGAAGAGAUUUUCUGAAGCCUUAAAGUGGUUUGAUGUUACCAACUGUGGUAUCUGUAGAACAUUCAAACUUGGAUCAAAGUGUCAACAUGUGAAAAAGCUAUGUGCAAGCAAUUGUUACUGUUAAGUCACAUGUUGCUAGAUAAAAAAUGUGCUCAUCCACAAGCAAGGAACUCAGGACCGCGAGGGGUGCACCCAUACACUGAGACAAUGGGAAUGUUCUAUCGGGAACUCACCAAGGCCAGCUGGCCUGGGUCUGAAAAAGCCUGGGUUAAAUCCGGUCUCACUGAACAUAGCGGACAAUGAGGACUACUGAGACCUCAAGAACAAUGGCAAUGGGUUUUUGAUCCUACUGUACCUAUUGGUUUCGUGGAUGCUCACCUUACUAGACCUGGAUGGAGGUGGGUGGUCCUUGGACUUCCCACAGGGCAGGGAACCCUGAUUGCUCUUUGGGCUGACGAGGGAGGGGGACUUGAUUGGGGGAGGGGGAGGGAAAGGGGAGGCGGCGGUGGGGAAGAGACAGAAAUCUU